ACACCUGAAUCCCGCAGAAGCAGCUGCGUCGCUUCAAACUCAGAUCCGUCUACUCUGAUAUUUCCCUUUCAAAUGGACAUUCCUUUCGGUAUUUUCUCCCACACAGGUCAGCUAAUCGGAAUCGAAAGAGACCGACGUCUGUGGUAAGUAGCAGAUUUUGUAUAUUCCUUUCCUGGCCGUCUUCGACUUCUUCCUUCGCUCUUUUAUCUUUAAGAAAUCGUUAGCCUCUGCCGCACGCGGGUGUGUGGCGAGGCGGAGCGAUGCGAUGGAAUCUGGCGGCGGCGCGGACAAUGGAAAAGCUUGGCCGGUAUUUCCAUUGGCCACGCAAGUACGUCAGACUUCAUCGUCCGAGUGACCUUCGUCUGUCCAAUCUGAAGGAAUAGUUCAUUACUUGGAAUCUAAAUCCAUGUGAAUCUUCAUUUCAGCGUCUAUGACAACAGCUGGAGCGACUUCAGAGCCUUCGACAAUCACCAUAAUGACGGACUUGGCCUCCUCGAUUGCCACAGGAACAAUGGCGACUUCAGAGUUUUCCACAUUCACCAUAGUGACGGACCAAGAACAAACGGGGUCUUCAGUAUCACCAGACUCUGCAACGCAGGGACCAGGUGUAGGAAAUACAAUGGCCGGAGUAUUCUCCACUUCAGGACAAACGGAAUCUACAGCAACAGAUGUAUCUGUAACGGAUGGCCUAGAUGAGGAAAAUACAACGGGUGAAGAGCAAACGGGAUUCCCAGUGACAGCAGCACCUGUAUCGCUGGGACCAGAUGCAGACAACACAACAGGCGGAGCACCAGUUACAGAAUCUCCAGUAACUGAAGGACCUGAAGGGCCUGGUGGUGAUAAUACUACGAGAGAUGGAGAACAAACGGGAUCCCCAGUAACAGCAGGACCUGUAACGUUGAGACCAGAUGGAGAUAACACAACAGGCGGAGAAAAUACUGAAUCUCCAGUAACAGGCGCACCUGUGACACAGGAUCCAGAUACAGGAGAUACGACGAAAGCUGAAAUUGAAGCAACUACGGCCCAGUUCAACAUAUCCAAUUUUGGUGAAUUUAUCACAACAUACUACACCUUAGGGACUGGCAAUGUCACUUCCAUCCCACUCAACUUUGGACGCGAAAUUAUUGCUCAGAUGGCAAAAGAGAACGCCCUCGCCUUCCGCUUCUUCCUGCAAGCGCGUACUUCGGGCAUCGUUACAAAUGCCUUCAGCUCCACGGCGACGUUGGCAUCCCUGUCUGGCAUUCGCCAAGAACCCGAAGCCAACGACGAAGAGGAUGAGCUUGGGACAGAGGGCACCACCUUCGUGUCUGCGUUGGACAGGGUGAACAAGACGACCACCUUCAACAACACGGAUUGUCUCAAUACAGUAAAGUUGGUCCUGAUGAAGGUCGAGUUCACGAAUGCGAUUACAGGCGAAUUAUAUCCUUGCGAUUUGUCUAACCAGGCCAACGCGAAGCCUCCCUAUGUGGAAAUCAUAGAUGUUUAUAACAGGACCGUCAUCAAUAGAUAUUGCUACCUGGAGACAUGACCAUCCACUCCUUCGGCGACCAGAUGUUUGGCUACAUCGUGACCAACGGAGAUCCUAAUGUUGUUCCUGACAUUCAGGCGAUUCAAACAAGGGAGAAGUACUGUUGCGGCGGCGUCUUCUACGGGGCCUUCCGCGAGCCGCUGAUCGUGACGUCACCCAAUUACCCCGGAAACUACGCUGCUCACAUGCGAUGCCCUUACGUCUUCAGG
rnacentral:misc_RNA from 1 species